rnacentral:rRNA from 1 species
UUGCACUAUUGCAUGGUGAAUACAUAGCCAUGCAAGGCGAACCGGGGGAACUGAAACAUCUAAGUACCCCGAGGAAAAGAAAUCAACCGAGAUUCCCCCAGUAGCGGCGAGCGAACGGGGAGGAGCCCAGAACCUGAAUCAGCGUAUGUGUUAGUGGAAGCGUCUGGAAAGUCGCACGGUACAGGGUGAUAGUCCCGUACACAAAAAUGCAUAUGUUGUGAGUUCGAUGAGUAGGGCGGGACACGUGACAUCCUGUCUGAAUAUGGGGGGACCAUCCUCCAAGGCUAAAUACUCCUGACUGACCGAUAGUGAACCAGUACCGUGAGGGAAAGGCGAAAAGAACCCCGGCGAGGGGAGUGAAAUAGAACCUGAAACCGUGUACGUACAAGCAGUGGGAGCACCUUCGUGGUGUGACUGCGUACCUUUUGUAUAAUGGGUCAGCGACUUAUAUUUUGUAGCAAGGUUAACCGAAUAGGGGAGCCGUAGGGAAACCGAGUCUUAACUGGGCGAAUAGUUGCAAGGUAUAGACCCGAAACCCGGUGAUCUAGCCAUGGGCAGGUUGAAGGUUGGGUAACACUAACUGGAGGACCGAACCGACUAAUGUUGAAAAAUUAGCGGAUGACUUGUGGCUGGGGGUGAAAGGCCAAUCAAACCGGGAGAUAGCUGGUUCUCCCCGAAAGCUAUUUAGGUAGCGCCUCGUGAACUCAUCUUCGGGGGUAGAGCACUGUUUCGGCUAGGGGGUCAUCCCGACUUACCAAACCGAUGCAAACUCCGAAUACCGAAGAAUGUUAUCACGGGAGACACACGGCGGGUGCUAACGUCCGUCGUGAAGAGGGAAACAACCCAGACCGCCAGCUAAGGUCCCAAAGUCAUGGUUAAGUGGGAAACGAUGUGGGAAGGCAUAGACAGCCAGGAUGUUGGCUUAGAAGCAGCCAUCAUUUAAAGAAAGCGUAAUAGCUCACUGGUCGAGUCGGCCUGCGCGGAAGAUGUAACGGGGCUAAACCAUGCACCGAAGCUGCGGCAGCGACACUUAGGUGUUGUUGGGUAGGGGAGCGUUCUGUAAGCCGUUGAAGGUGACCUGUGAGGGUUGCUGGAGGUAUCAGAAGUGCGAAUGCUGACAUAAGUAACGAUAAUGCGGGUGAAAAACCCGCACGCCGGAAGACCAAGGGUUCCUGUCCAACGUUAAUCGGGGCAGGGUGAGUCGACCCCUAAGGCGAGGCUGAAAAGCGUAGUCGAUGGGAAACAGGUUAAUAUUCCUGUACUUGGUGUUACUGCGAAGGGGGGACGGAGAAGGCUAGGCUAGCCGGGCGACGGUUGUCCCGGUUUAAGCAUGUAGGCGGAGUGACUUGGUAAAUCCGGUUGCUUAUCA